rnacentral:rRNA from 2 species
UACGUAGGGUCCAAGCGUUAUCCGGAAUCACUGGGCGUAAAGCGUGCGUAGGUGGAUUGUUAAGUGCGAUGCGAAAUCCUGUGGCUCAACCAUAUGGACUGUAUCGCAUACUGGCAAUCUUGAGGACAUGAGAGGCAAGUGGAAUUACUGGUGUAGCAGUGAAAUGCGUAGAGAUCAGUAGGAACACCAAUGGCGAAGGCAGCUUGCUGGCAUGUAUCUGACGCUAAGGCACGAAAGCGUGGGGAGCGAACAGG